CAAGAUGCUUUGGGGCCUCUCUGCCCCUUUGGAAACAAGGCAGCACCUUGGGCCUGGCAGCUCUAGGGCAAUGGAGCACACCCAGAGCAGAAGUUCUACUUCAGCCAGAUCAGGCCUGCCAAGAAACUGCGUUUCACAGGCCUUUCAAAGAGAUGUUCUCUUAGGCUGUAAUAGCACGGGGCAGAGCCAGCUGUUUCUUAGCUUCCCGAAGAGCUGGGAGCAUGAUACUUUGGGGACCCUUUCCCCUUUUGGAAACAAGGCCGCCCUUGGGGCCUUGCAGCUGUAGGCCAAUGUAGCACACACAGAGCAGAAUUUCUACUUCAGCCAAAUCAGGCCUGCUAGGAAACUGCGUAUCACAGGAGUUGGUAAGAGAUGUUCAUGGUAGGCUGUAAGAGCACUGGGCAGAGCCAGCUGUUUCUUAGCUUCCCGAAGAGCUGGAAGGAAGAUGCUUUGGGGCCUCUCUGCCCCUUUCCAAACAAGGCAGCCCUUUGGGCCCGGCAGAUCUAGGCCAAUGGAGCACACCCAGAGCAGAAUUUCUACUUCAGCCCAUCAGGCCUGCUAGGAAACUGCGUAUCACGGGCCUUGGUAAGAGAUGUUCCCGGUAGGCUGUAAGAGCACUGGGCACAGCCAGUUGUUUCUUAGCUUCCCGAACAGCUGGAAGCAGGAUGCUUUGGGACCUCUCUGCCCCUUUGCAAACAAGGCGGCCUUUUGGGCCUGGCAGCUCAAGGACGAUGGAGCACACCCAGAGCAGAAGUUCUACUUCAGCCAGGUCAGGCCUGCCAAGAAACUGCGUUUCACAGGCCUUUGUAAAAGAUGUUCCCGGUAGGCUGUAAGAGCACUGGGCAGAGCCAGUUGUUUCUUACAUUCCUGAAAAGCUGGAAGCAAGAUGCUUGGGACCCCUCUGCCCGUUUGGGAACAAGGCAGCCUUUUGGGUCGGGAAGCUCUAGGCCAAUGGAGCACACGCAGAGCAGAAGUUCUACUUCACCCUGAUCAGGCCUGCAAAGAAACAGCGUUUGACAGGCCUUGGUAAGAGAUGUUCCCGGUAGGUGUAAGAGCACUGGGCAGAGCCAGUUGUUUCUUAGCUUCGCAAAGACCGGGAAGCAAGAUGCUUUGGGCCUUUCUGCCCCUUGGAAACAGGCCAGCACUUUUGCCUGGCAGCUCUAGGGCAAUGGAGCACACCCAGAGCAGAAGUUCUACUUCAGCCAGAUGAGGCCUGCCAAGAAACGGCGUUUCACAGGCCUUGGUAAGAGAUGUUCCCGGUAGGCUGUAAGAGCACUGGGCAGAGCCAGCUGUUUCUUAGCUUCCCAGAGAGCUGGAAGCAAGAUGCUUUGGGGCCUCUCUGCCCCUUUGCAAACAAACAAGCCCUCAGGUCCUUGCUGCUCUAGGCCCAUGUAGCACACCCAGAGCAAAAGUUCUACUUCAGCCAGAUCAGGCCUGCCAAGGAACUGCAUUUCACAGGCCUUGGAAAGAGAUGUUCCCGGUAGGCUGUAAGAGCACCUGGCAGAGCCUGUUGUUUCUUAGGUUCCCAAACAGCUGGAAGCAACAUGCUUUGGGGCCUCUGUCCCCCUUUGGAAACAAUGCAGUCCUUUGGCCUGGCAGCUCUAGGCCUAUGUAGCACAACCAGAGCAGAAGUUCUACUUCAGCCAGGUCAGGCCUGCCAAGAAACUGCGUUUCACAGGCCUUUCAAAGGGAUGUUCUCUUAGGCUGUAAGAGCACUGGGCAGAGCCAGCUGUUUCUUAGUUUCCCGAAGAGCUGGGAGCAACAUUCUUUGGGGACCCUCUCCCCUUUUGGAAACAAGGCCGCCCUUGGGGCCUUGCAGCUCUAGGCCUAUGCAGCACACAGAGAGCAGAAUUUCUACUUCAGCAAAAUCAGGCUUGCUAGGAAACGGCGUAUCACAGGACUUGGUAAGAGAUGUUCAUGGUAGGCAGUAAGAGCACUGGGCAGAGCCUGCUGUUUCUUAGCUUCCCAGAGAGCUGGAAGCAAGAUGCUUUGGGGCCUCUCUCCCCCUUUCAAAACAAGGCAGCACUUUGGUCCUGGCAAAUCUAGGCCAAUGGAGCACACCCAGAG
ensembl:lncRNA